rnacentral:rRNA from 1 species
CCCCCAAACACAAAAGCUUGGUCCUAACUUUACAGUCAAUUUUUUCUUAACUUACACAUGCAAGCCUCCCCGCCCCCAUGAGUAUCUAUUUUCCCACRCCAGGGGAUUGAUAGAAAYGGUAUCAGGCACAACACNUUGCCCAAAACACCUAGCAACAGUCACACCCAUAAGGGCCACAGCAGUGAUUAAUAUUGAAUAUAAGUGCCAACUUGAUUCAGUCAAAGCAAAACAGGGCCGGCCAAGYUGGUGCCAGCCGCCGCRGUUACACCAGAGGCCCGAGUUGACUUUCCCUCGGCRUAGAGCGUGGUUAAAGCUUCAUAAAAUUGGGAUCAAAUUAAAAUUAGGCGGUAACAUGCCUGUUCUUAAGAAGCCCCCAAACGAAAGUUAUUCCAAUUUCUAUAACUUGAACCCACGAUAGCCAGAGCACAAACUAGGAUUAGAUACCCUACUAUGUCUGCCCCUAAACCUUAAA